GACGAACGCUGGCGGCGUGCUUCAUACAUGCAAGUCGAACGAGAAGCUGACUUCGGUCAGUGGAAAGUGGCGGACGGGUGCGUAAUAUGUAGGAAAUCUGCCUUUAGGAGGGGGACAACAGAGGGAAACUUCUGCUAAUACCCCAUAUGAGCGUAGCUGAAAUGCUAUUCUUGAAAACUCCGGUGCCUAAAGAUGAGCCUGCAUCUGAUUAGCUAGUUGGUAGUGUAAUGGACUACCAAGGCGACGAUCAGUAGCUGGUUUGAGAGGAUGAUCAGCCACAAUGGGACUGAGACACGGCCCAUACUCCUACGGGAGGCAGCAGUAGGGAAUUUUACGCAAGGGGCGAAAGCCUGACGCAGCAACGCCGCGUGAACGAUUAAGCCCUUCGGGGCGUAAAGUUCUGUCAGUGGGGACGAAACUUGACGGUACCCACAGAGGAAGCACCGGCUAACUCCGUG
rnacentral:rRNA from 1 species